GAUGAAGAACGUAGUGAAAUGCGAUAAGUAGUGUGAAUUCCAGAAUUCAGUGAAUCAUCGAAUCUUUGAACGCACAUUGCGCCCCUUGGUAUUCCAUGGGGCAUGCCUGUUCGAGCGUCAUUUGUACCUUCAAGCUCUGCUUGGUGUUGGGUGUUUGUCUCGCCUCUGCGUGUAGACUCGCCUCAAAACAAUUGGCAGCCGGCGUAUUGAUUUCGGAGCGCAGUACAUCUCGCGCUUUGCACUCAUAACGACGACGUCCAAAAGUACAUUUUUACACUCUUGACCUCGGAUCAGGUAGGGAUACCCGCUGAACUUAAGCAUAUCAAUAAGCGGAGGA
rnacentral:misc_RNA from 1 species